UACGUAGGGUCCAAGCGUUAUCCGGAAUCACUGGGCGUAAAGCGUGCGUAGGUGGAUGUUUAAGUGUAUUGCGAAAUCUUGUGGCUCAACCAUAUAGACUGUAAUACAUACUGGAUAUCUAGAGGACGGCAGAGGCAAGUGGAAUUUGUAGUGUAGCAGUGAAAUGCGUAGAUAUUACAAGGAACACCAAUGGCGAAGGCAGCUUGCUGGGCCGACCCUGACACUGAGGUACGAAAGCGUGGGGAGCGAACAGG
rnacentral:rRNA from 1 species